AGCGAACGCUGGCGGUAGGCCUAACACAUGCAAGUCGAACGGCAGCACAGUAAGAGCUUGCUCUUACGGGUGGCGAGUGGCGGACGGGUGAGGAAUAUAUCGGAAUCUACUUUUUCGUGGGGGAUAACGUAGGGAAACUUACGCUAAUACCGCAUACGACCUACGGGUGAAAGCAGGGGAUAUUCGGACCUUGCGCGAUUGAAUGAGCCGAUGUCGGAUUAGCUAGUUGGCGGGGUAAAGGCCCACCAAGGCGACGAUCCGUAGCUGGUCUGAGUGGAUGAUCAGCCACACUGGAACUGAGACACGGUCCAGACUACUACGGGAGGCAGCAGUGGGGAAUAUUGGACAAUGGGCGCAAGCCUGAUCCAGCCAUACCGCGUGGGUGAAAAAGGCCUUCGGGUUGUAAUGCCCUUUUGUUGGGAAAGAAAAGCAGCAGGUUAAUACCCCGCUGUUCUGACGGUACCCAAAGAAUAAGCACCGGCUAACUUCGUG
rnacentral:rRNA from 1 species